UACGUAGGGCGCAAGCGUUGUCCGGAAUUAUUGGGCGUAAAGAGCUCGCAGGCGGUUUGUCGCGUCUGUCGUGAAAGCCCACGGCUUAACUGCGGGUCUGCGGUGGAUACGGGCAGACUAGAGGCAGGUAGGGGAGAAUGGAAUUCCCGGUGUAGCGGUGAAAUGCGCAGAUAUCGGGAGGAACACCGGUGGCGAAGGCGGUUCUCUGGGCCUGUACUGACGCUGAGGAGCGAAAGCGUGGGGAGCGAACAGG
rnacentral:rRNA from 1 species